AUACACUCGCUCACUGACACACAUACAGUGAGCGAGUGUAUGUGUGUCAGUGAGUGAGUGUGU
rnacentral:miRNA from 1 species